GACGAACGCUGGCGGCGUGCCUAACACAUGCAAGUCGAGCGAAUGAAGUUCCUUCGGGAACGGAUUUAGCGGCGGACGGGUGAGUAACACGUGGGCAACCUGCCUCAUGGAGGGGAAUAGCCUUCCGAAAGGGAGAUUAAUACCGCAUAAGAUUGUAGUACCGCAUGGUACAGCAAUUAAAGGAGUAAUCCGCUAUGAGAUGGGCCCGCGGCGCAUUAGCUAGUUGGUGAGGUAACGGCUCACCAAGGCGACGAUGCGUAGCCGACCUGAGAGGGUGAUCGGCCACAUUGGGACUGAGACACGGCCCAGACUCCUACGGGAGGCAGCAGUGGGGAAUAUUGCACAAUGGGGGAAACCCUGAUGCAGCAACGCCGCGUGAGUGAUGACGGCCUUCGGGUUGUAAAGCUCUGUCUUCAGGGACGAUAAUGACGGUACCUGAGGAGGAAGCCACGGCUAACUACGUGCCAGCCGCCGCAGUAACAC
rnacentral:rRNA from 1 species